ACAGUCCCCUGGGACGCCCUCGCGACUGG
rnacentral:sRNA from 1 species